rnacentral:rRNA from 1 species
AACGAACGCUGGCGGCAUGCCUAACACAUGCAAGUCGAACGAGACCUUCGGGUCUAGUGGCGCACGGGUGCGUAACGCGUGGGAAUCUACCCUCAGGUUCGGAAUAACUCAGAGAAAUUUGAGCUAAUACCGGAUGAUGACGUAAGUCCAAAGAUUUAUCGCCUGAGGAUGAGCCCGCUUAGGAUUAGGUAGUUGGUGAGGUAAAGGCUCAUCAAGCCGACGAUCCUUAGCUGGUCUGAGAGGAUGAUCAGCCACACUGGGACUGAGACACGGCCCAGACUCCUACGGGAGGCAGCAGUGGGGAAUAUUGGACAAUGGGCGAAAGCCUGAUCCAGCAAUGCCGCGUGAGUGAUGAAGGCCUUAGGGUUGUAAAGCUCUUUUACCCGGGAUGAUAAUGACAGUACCGGGAGAAUAAGCUCCGGCUAACUCCGUG